UCAGGCAACACUGUGAGCGAACCUGUGACCUCCAAGCAAGCCAGCCAGUGUCUUAUUCACUUAGCCACUGUGGCAAAGGGGUCAUAAAUAUAAUUCCACAAAAAAACCUGUGCAGUUCACAAACACAUUCUCCUUACUAUUCGAGUCUCUGUGACUACAACAACUACUCGAAAGUAGUGCGAACUGUAAAUUUUAUUUUGUUAAACCAUCGUAAGAAAAGAAACAUAUUGAAUAUGCUUGUCAAUAUUCUUUCUCUGUCAGAGCAGCUAAAAGGUGAAAUUGUCUUCCAAAAACUCUUUGUGAGUCCUCUUCCAUCCAAAACUUAAAAAAAAAUUAUUUCAAAAAUGGUGUUGAGAGAGAGAGAGAAAUGGGGUUUAACAAGAGAGAGAGAGACAGAGAGAGAGAGAGAAAUGGGGUUUAACGUCCACUUGACACAAACUAGGUCAUUCGGGACUAACAUAUAGUUUAAUUUUAUUUCAAUAAUUUGCUUGCGCGUAGGGGUCUUUGGCAGUGGGAGGACCCGGAGAAAACCCAUGAGGUUGGACAGGCGACCCUACUCCUUGUCACGUAUAACCGGGGAUUCGAAACCACGCCAGUUGACUAAAUGACAGGUCGUCACCAUUCGGCCAUCCAACCCCCCAAAAAUGGUGUUGAAAUGGGUGUUUUUGUGAAUGCGCUUAGAAAUACUCAUGUGUAAUGAAGUGCUAUAAUUGAACCAUAAUAAUAAUAUAGUAGGCCUAGUGGACUCCUCCGUCUCAUUUUGGUUGAAUGUUUGGAAAUUUGAUGGCUAAUUAGAUUUAGGACACUCUGGCAUAUUUUCUAGGCUUGGCUUCAUGUGGCCUGUUUUCCAUGCAUACAAGAAUUAACCAAUUAGAAGUUAAACAAAAUAAAAUCUGCUCCAAAAUAUUACAAUACUUUUUUUUAUUUCAUUGCCCAAAACACCUUUACAGCCUGAAUGUUAAUUUUGGGGCAGCGUUUAACUGCAUGGGUGGUAAUUGAAUUUAUUAAAUUGACUAACUUUUGCACAAUAAGUAAAUAUAAAUUAUCUUAAUACCCCAACUCAGACAAGUUAGUGGCCUUUCAAACCAAUUUAAAUUCGGUCAAAAUUUGUAGAAAUUUAGAUAUUAUUUUAUUGCAUGUGUGUACAAUUUGUUAUGUGUCUAAGCUCUGUUACCACAAAAAAUAUAUUUAAUUUAGUCCUUAUAGUAGAUUCUAUCACACGUUUGAAAGUUGUCCAACGGUCGAAUAAAUAUGUUGUAGUUUGACCUAGAUAAAUAUAAGACUGGGAAAAUAAAUAUAAAAAAAAUUCCGACAUCUUAAAAGUAGAUACCUAUAUUCGCAAUGGAAAUAUUAUUUUAAAAAUCGGGAUUAUUUAAUUUGAUACAACUGAAUAAAAUGGCUCUAGUCGAUCUAUUUAAAAAAAACAUCAACCAAAUAUACGAGUUGGGCAACUGCCAGUGCAGUACUGCAUCCGUCGUGAUCCGAAUAAAGCUGUACGUAUGUAUAUUAUAUCAUGUGCAUGCUUAAAAAAAGGCCUCUGAAUCAUAUAAUAAUUUCUUCAAUUUUACUAUUCAUAAGCCUAAAAUAUUACGUAGUUAUAGACUAUAUAUAAAAUAUUGAAGUGCGUAGGCCUACAGUUGAUAGUCGCAUAGACUCCGUUAUCUACGUAUAUGAUAUAUGCCGCCAUUUUGGGUCAAGGUCAAGAUAAAUUACAGUCAAUACAAAUGAAUAACUACAUCGAUAGAUUAUUAAAUGUAAUUUCUAUUAACUGAUUUCAAUGUUAGGUGGUCUAUGUUUGUUGUCUUUUUCAGUAUAUUGUCCACAUUGAUUAAACUAUCAUUAUUAAAAUCAUUUUGAUUCUUCUAUAUUUGCACGUACUUUUUUACAACUCUGAACCCGGAAGCGAGGUAUUCUGGGAAGGGUAUUUUAAAGAUGGCGGGCGUUUUGGAAUUUAUUCGUGGAGUGCAUGAGAAAUGUUCAAUAUACAGCUACUUGGAUUACACAAACAGAGAAAGAUAGAUUAUACCAGUUAAAUUGAGAGGUUUUAUUUGAAAACCCUAUAUUUGAGCACCAUUCAUGGCAGUCAUGUCGAGGAAGUUAUAAAAAGGCUGAUAAGGGCUUUGUAUAUGGAAGCUAGAUGACAUUACUACUUAUCAUACACAACUAUUUGUCACAUACCGACUUGGGAUUGAAACCAAGCGACUGAACUCAAUAACACUCCUCAAUAACACUCGUCUAUGAAACCACCCAGAUGGCAAAGAAAUAAAGACUUUUUAAUUAUGUACCGAACUCAUAUACAUGUGUAUGUAUCUAUGGUAGCACAAAAUUCACCAGAAUGUAGGCCAAAGCUUUACUUUACAAGCAGUAGGCUUAAAAUAUUUUCCGUCUGAUCUUGUAAGAGUCAAUUGUUUAUGAAUAGUUUGCCUCAAGCAGAUAUCCUGUCACUGUGUCACAGUAUCAUAUAACCGCUCUUUGGCUUGAACUGAGUUGUAUCAGUGAGUUGAAAAUCUACUGCAGCCAGUAUAUUAGACUCAAAAUUCUAACGAGCUUUCGUCUAACUUCUAACUUCUGUUCAUGUAUUUUUUAACUUCUAUUCAUGUAAUUUCUAACUUCUAUUCAUGUAUUUUGUUAAAUUAAGACAAUGUAUAAUCCAACUUCUUUAUUUGUUCAGUGUAAAUUUUAAUUCUAUUCCAUCUUAUUUCUAUUAUUUAGACGAAAAACGUCUUCUUAAUUUUUACACUUCUGCCUAGCAACCAUCAUUAUGAAGUCAUUUGGUGUCGCCACCGCGUGCUCAUUUUUGGUGAUUGCGCACCUGGUCGGGACCAUUGUGUUGAUAUAAACGACACAUUCUUGAUAAAGACGAGAGUGUCCUCGUCGAAACGUUGCUUUAUAUUAAACUCAGUAAGAGUUAUCUAUAAAAUUGUACCCUGUGUUAAUGUAGACCAACAGUAUAUAAAUAUGAAUUGGCUCAACUUGUCUUAAAAAAAAUGAACAAAUGCUGUUUAGCUUGUAUUUGAAAUAGAAAAUGAAAUAUAAUGGGGUUUAACAUCCUACUAUUCUACUCCGAACUUGGCUAAUACGCCAUACAGUGUGCUACGAAGGAAACUUUGCCCGGACAGCGGCACUACGGAACGAUUAGACAGCUGUACUUGUUAGGCCCUCCAUCCUGCAUCACUGACAAGGAGGAACCAUGCCGGAAAAUCUGGAUGAACUUUCUUGACCAAUGCAGGGAUCGAACACCCUACCGCUAGGCUAGUGAGCCAGCGUCUUACCGACCGUAUUUGAAAUCGUAUUUGCAAACCAUACACAUGUACAUAGAUAUCACGUUCAAUGUUGUUUGUGGGGUUGGACGGCCGAAAGGUUAGCACGUGCGCGCUGUACCAUAAGGUAUGUCAUUGAGUCAACUGGUGUGGUUUCGAUUCCCCGGUUGUACGUGACAAGGAAUAGGGUCGCCUUUCCAACCUAGUGGGUUUUCUCCGGGUCCUCCGGUUUCCUCCCAUUGCUAAACACCCCUACGCGCAAGCGAAUUAUUGAAAUAAAAUUGAACCAUGUUAAUACCGAACCUACAUGUAGUUUGUGUUGAGUGGACGUUUAACCCCAUCAGACUCUCUCUCUCUCGCUCUCUCUCUCGAAGUUGUUUUCAAUUUUAGCACUCCACCAAACCAUUCAACUGGACUAAGAGCGAGUCAUUUGUAUCAACAGAAUGGUCCCGAUCAGGUGCUCAAUCGCCAAAUUGAGCGAACGGUGGCGACACCAAACGACGUCAUAAUGAUGGUUGCUAGGUAGAAAUCAAAAUUCUAAAUUUGUUUACCAUUCAUGCUUAACAUGUAAAGUGACUAGACAUUUUUCGCCUUAAUAAUAGAAAUAAGAUGAAACAAUUAAAAUUUACACUGAACAAAAAAAGAAGUUGAAUUAUACAUUGUCUUAAUUUAGAAAUUACAUGAAUGGAAGUUAGAAAUUACAAGAGUAGAAGUAAGAAAUUAGACGAUAGCAUGUUAGAAUUUUGAAUCUAAUAUACCACCAUAGUAUACGGGGAAACUUUUUAAACCCUUACAAAUUCUUCAAAUUUUUGUGAUAGAUCAAUAAUAGCAAAAAUCUGUGUUAAAAUUAUAUUUGUAAUGUGUUUAACAAAUUCUAUCACACAUGUAAUAUUGGUGUAAUUUAGUAUAUACCUUAUUUCAAUACUGGGGUAUUAUAUCGUUGCCCUGACUGUUUGUUUGUCCAAAUUAGUUUGUGAUUGUGAAGGUGACAGUUUUUUAUACGCUAACAUUUUCAUGUAGACGUAUAUUUUUGUAGCCCCUGUCCGUCCGAACGUCCAUCGGUCCGUCCACAAUUGUUUGUGGGACCGUAACUUCAUGGAUUAUGGCCCCUGAUUGUACUGAAAGUCAUGUUUUUAGCUUGUGGACCCUAUAGAGGUCAAAAUUUUUAUAUGCCCACAUUUUCAUGUGGACGUAUAUUGUGGUAGCCCCGGUCCGUCCGGACGUCUGUACACAAUUGUUUGUGGACACUCUACAGGUCACAAUUCUUAUCCGAUUUUGACGAAACUUGAAAUAUAGGUUUAUCUCCAAAAGAUCUUGGUUGCUUUCGAUAUUGGCAUGUAUCUGACCGUAACUUCUUGGAUUAUGGUCCCUGAUUGUACGAAAAAUCAAGUUUUUAGCUUGUGGACCCUAUAGAGGUCACAAUUUUUAUACGCCCACAUUUUCAUGUGGACGUAUAUUGUCGUAGCCCUUGUCCGUCUGGACGUCCAUCCGUUUUUAGCUUGUGGUCCCUAUAGAGGUCACAAUUUUUAUUCGAUUUAUAAAAAAAAAACAAUGGGAAUAUAUAACCAUUACACACUAAGAUCUUGGUUCCUUUUCAUAAUCGCGCAUAUCCGAACGUAACUUCCUCGAUUAUGGCUCCUGAUUGUUCGAAAAAUCGCAUAAUCAAGGUUGAAUUCGAAUUAAGGGAAAAUCAAAAUGAAACUGCCUGACAAAAUGUGUAAAAGUAUGCAAUAUGAAGGCAUUGGAUACUCAAGAUUUUAACUGGCCUGCAAUUUAAAAAUUUAAUUAAAAAAUGGGAAAGUGAGGCCAAGUCUCGAAUAUACCUGUGCCCUCAUUACCACAAUGCACACAUCAUGUCGAAACUAGAAACUGUGAUAACUUGGCUUAGAAUGAAGUAAUUUGAAUGAAAUUUUCAUUUUACAUGUAUAUUAUUUAUUUUUGAACAAUCAUAGCAAGAAUGGUCAGCUCUUUAUCUAAAUCUUUAUCUAAAGACGAGCAUAUGCCAUACAGUGUACUAUGAGGGAAAUUUUGCCUGGGCAGCGGGGCUACGGCCUACUCUUAUAUCGAAUUCCAACUGCCAAGGGAUCUUUUAUGUGCAUGCCAAUGUCUACACGGGACCUCGGUUUUUCGUCCCAUAACGACUAGACUGCUGUCCGUCUGUCAGUUCCUCCGUCCUGCAUCACUGACAAGGGAAACCACGCCGGAAAAUCAGGAUGAACUUUCUCGGCCAAUACAGGGAUCGAACACCCGAUCUCCAGGCUAGCGAGCCAGCGUCUUACCCACUUAGCCACUUGAUCCCCCCCUUUGGUGAAAGAGAGAGAGAGAGAAAUGGGGUUUACCGUCCACUCGACACAAACUAGGUCAUUUCGGGACUAACAUAUGGUUUAAUUUUUUAUUUACAUAAUUCGCUUGCGCGUAGGGGUCUUUAGCAGUGGGAGGAAACCGAAGGACCCGGAGAAAACCCACGAGGUUGGACAGGCGACCCUACUCCUUGCCACGUACAACCGGGGUUUCGAAACCACGCCAUUCGACUCAAUGACAGACUUUAUGAUACAGCGCUCGCACGCUAACCAUUAAGCCAUCCACCCCCCCACCCCCCCCCCUUUGUUGAAAGAAAACAGAGCUGUGGCUAGUGAAAUGAAAGUUUAACGUCCUACUGUUUUGCUCUGAACUGGGCUAAUGAAGAUGGGCAUACGCCAUACAGUGUGCUAUGUGGGAAAUUUUGCCCGGACAGUGGCACUACGGCCUUCUCUUAUAUCGAAUUCUAACUUCAAGGGCUCUUGUACGUGCACGCCAAUGUGUACAUGGGACCUCAUUUUUUUGUCCCAUUUUAAUGACUAGACAGCUGUCUUGUCUAGCCCUCUGUCCUGCAUCACUGACAAGGGAGAACCACGCCCGAAAAUCUGGAGCAACUUUCUCGGCCAAUGCAGGGAUCGAACACCCGACCUCCAGACUAGAUAGCCAGUGUCUUACCGACUCAACCAACGUGAUCCCCGUUGUGGCUACAAUUCCUGGAUUUGAAGGUCAGGUAUGAUAUGAAACGAAUAUUUUGAACCGGUUCACCAAUGCAACCAAUCCGUGACGGGUUAACUGAUAGAGGGUUACAUCCUUGAUAUAAAUAUACUUGUCGCGGGUUUUAAAAAUAGAAAUAUAUAUAUAAAGGUAGCUCAAAAUUCAUCUCUACAUGUACAGAGGCCAAGGGGGGAUCAUGUGGCUAAGUGGGUAAGACGCUGACUCGCUAGCCUUGAGGUCGGGUGUUCGAUCCCUGCAUUGGCCGAGAAAGUUCAUCCUGAUUUUCCGGUGUGGUUUCCCAUUGUCAGUGAUGCAGGACGGAGGGCCUGACGAAGACAGCUGUCUAGUCGUUUGGAUGGGACAAAAAAAAAACAAGGUCCAGUGUACACAUUGGCGUGCACAUAAAAGAUCCCCUGGCAGUUGGAAUUCGAUACAAGAGUAGGCCAUAGCGCUGCUGCCCGGGCAAAAUUAUCUCAUAGCACACUGUAUGGCGUAACCUUUUGCGUCUCUUCAAAAUAUUUCAAAUCUUUUGUCAUGGAUCAACCAUUGCAAAUAUCCGUGUUACAAUUAUAUUUGAAAUGUGUUAAACCAAUUCUGCAACACAUGUAAUAUUGGUGUAGUAUAUAUCUUUGUUUAUACACCCACAUAUCAAUUUUGGCCCUGUUUGUCCGUACACUGGGUGUGAAAUGUGAAUCAUUCCGAUUGUGAGAGGACAAGCAUUAUCAAUAUACAGCUUUUCAGGACUUUGCUUUCCUUGGUUAAUUCUCCCUAGUCUAGUCGUUUGGAUGGUACGAAUGAUCGAGGUCCUGUGCACACAUUGGUGUGCACGUGAAAGAUCCCUUGGCAGUUUGAAUUCGAUAUAAGAGUAGGCUUUAGCGCCGCUGUCUGGAUAAAAUUCCAUAAUAGGACACUGAAUAGCAUAUUUCCAUGUCAUUAGCCCUGUCGGAAUAGGACAUUAAACCCAUUUCAUUUCACUCAUUCCAAAGUUAACUUCUAUUCCAUCAAUACCUUGAGCAAAUAAGAUAGAGGCUAUAGGUUUUGGCCCAAUUUGGUCAAUAUCCCAGUUUUUUCUUUCUUAUAUGCAUAUCAACACUUUCAUAGCGCUAAUGUAGACCUUUUUCUUGAACAUUUUCCCGUGUCAGUGAUGCCGGACAGAGGACCUGACAUGGAUGGCUGACUAGUCAUACGGAAGGGACAAAAAAACCAAGGUACAGUGUAAACUCAAGUGUGUGUGUGUGUGAAAGAUCCCUUGGCAGUUGGAAUUUUAUAUAAGAGUACGCCAUAGCUCUGCACACUGUGUGGCAUAUGCCCGUCUUCAUUUCUCAAACAGCUGUGGAUAAAAACUGUUAAUAUUUAAAUGUGUAUUUUGUAUUUUAUAACAUUAUAUUUUUGUCUUUUAAAUAAAGUAUAUGUAUACAUACUUGUAGUA